GGAUUGUAGUUCAGUGGUAGAGAGCUUGCCUUGCAUGCAUGAGGCCCUGGGUUUGAUCCUCAGCACCA
rnacentral:tRNA from 1 species